CAGUCCCCCUACUUUCGAGUUUGAAUUUCGAACGAAGGAUGUACAGAGAGAUGGGCACAGCCGAAACCGUCCCCUCGAAUCCUGCGCACUGCCGCCCCCAGAUAUUUUGGCAUUAAAUAUGCGCAUGCUGGAGUCUUUUCGGAUCGGGGCGAUACGAAGGGACCCUUCGAAAUUCUCGUCGGUACACUGCCCAGGUACGGCACCAUAAUGGCCCUG
rnacentral:lncRNA from 1 species